AACCUAUCGAUUCCGGAACAAAAUUGCCCUCCGUUUACCUUUGGCGAAAAAAAUGCCCCCACCGUUAACUUUGAAUCUAACAGAAUCUUGAAUUUCAUUUUUUAUUUUUUUUUAAUGCCACGUGUCACGUUUUGAUUGGGACAUAUAAAGAACGGAAAAUUGGGACAUAUAAAGAACGGAAUAAGGGUUAAAACUCGUUUUGAUAGGCCAUUAAAUAAACUUGAUCCAAAAUCAAUUCUCACCCAAAUUCCGAUUCAACCCGACCCAACCCAAAGAGAUUGGAAAAUUGGGACAUAUAAAGAACGGAAUAAGGGUCAAAACUGCCCUCAACGUAUUGACUCCGGAACAAAAUUGCCCUCCGUUAACCUUUUUUGGGUCGG
rnacentral:lncRNA from 1 species